GCAAGUCGCACGGACCUUUCGGGGUGAGUGGCGGACGGGUGAGUAUCGCGUAGGGAUCUACCCAUGGGUGGGGGAUAACAUCGGGAAACUGGUGCUAAUACCGCAUGAUACCUGAGGGUCAAAGGCGCAAGUCGCCUGUGGAGGAGCCUGCGUUCGAUUAGCUUGUUGGUGGGGUAAAGGCCUACCAAGGCGAUGAUCGAUAGCUGGUCUGAGAGGAUGAUCAGCCACACUGGGACUGAGACACGGCCCAGACUCCUACGGGAGGCAGCAGUGGGGAAUAUUGGACAAUGGGCGAAAGCCUGAUCCAGCAAUGCCGCGUGUGUGAAGAAGGUCUUCGGAUUGUAAAGCACUUUCGACGGGGACGAUGAUGACGGUACCCGUAGAAGAAGCCCCGGCUAACUUCGUGCCAGCAGCCGCGGUAAUACGAAGGGGGCUAGCGUUGCUCGGAAUGACUGGGCGUAAAGGGCGCGUAGGCGGUUUACACAGUCAGAUGUGAAAUUCCAGGGCUUAACCUUGGGGCUGCAUUUGAUACGUGUAGACUAGAGUGUGAGAGAGGGUUGUGGAAUUCCCAGUGUAGAGGUGAAAUUCGUAGAUAUUGGGAAGAACACCGGUGGCGAAGGCGGCAACCUGGCUCAUUACUGACGCUGAGGCGCGAAA
rnacentral:rRNA from 1 species